GACAACUUGAGUGAGACGAAGCGAGACGACGGCUGAAGUCAGACCUGUGGAAAUGUUUCUAUUUUACCUCUUUGUGCUUCAGUCUGCAGCAGUGGCUGCAUCUGUUCAGAGAGCAGGAGAGGACGUCACUCUGACUUGUGAACAUAAGCUGGAGGGUCAACGGAACUGUAAUGGGACAUCAUGGUACUAUUAUGCUGGAACCAGUCAUAUCAUGGAUCUGGUUGAACUUGGGAAGAUUAAAGACUACAGUGACAUAACAUCAGACAGAGUGAGAGUUGCAGCAGAUUGCUCUCUGAUUCUGAAGAAAGUUACAGAAAAGCAAGUUGGUCAUUAUUAUUGUGAUCAACUCAAAUCAGACAGUUCAAAGCAACCCGUUAUAGUUAGCUGGUCUUUCGUGGAUCUGUCUAUCGUCAACAUCGUGACUGAACAUGACUCCGAUGACGAGGAGACACUGAAAUGCUUCGUGACGUCUAUACAGGAAAACUGUGAACUGGAAGUGAAGUGGACGAUCAAAGAUCAAGACAUUGAUGAAGUCAACAGUCAGAUAAAGACAGAAAAUAAUGGAUGUUCUGCCACUGUGACUCUUAAAAAGUCACAUUAUCUUCACCCACAAACACACUUCCUGAGCUGUGAAGUGACUGACAACAGAACAGGAGAAACGUUUCGUUUCAGUCCUCGACCCUCAGGUGACACAAAAUCAACAAUGAAACCAGAAAGCUUCACAAAAUCAGCUGGAACUGAAACCAGUGGAGCUUCAGCAGGUCCACAAGGCUCGUGGUGGAUGCACUCGAUUGUCGCUGUGGGUCUGAUUGUACUCCUGAUCACAGCUGUGGUGAUCAUCAUCAGAUGGAAAAGGACCAAAGGUUCCUGGUGGAGAUUAAGGAGAGACGGUGAUAUAUGCUGAUGAAUAAAGCUCUUUGAAUGUACUUGCCUUUCCCUUGUCCUGACAGUUGUAUCUUGUCAAACCAUAAUUUUUUCAGUCACAUUAGACUGAUGAAAACUAAUCAUGUUGUUUCAACACAAUUUUUCGUGUAACACCAAUUUAUUGUGCAGUUAUAAGUUGACUUCAUCAUCUCCAAUGUGCUGGACUUUCAAGUGUAACUCCAAACUGUUUUCUUAAUGCUAAUAUUAUUAUACAGUGUUACUUUAAUGGAAUUCACUCUGACCCUCUAUUCAUUUCAAGUCUGUCAACAGAGCUUGAUUUGCUAAUUGUCCAAAUGUAUCGGUUCAAUGUUUAAAAUGCAUGUGAAUUAAAAAAUCCUAAAUGCUGAAUUGCAUUUAAGAAUGGAAAAGAGUCCGUUUUCUGUAACAAGAUGUUCCAGUGGUUGGGUUCAAAUGUUGUAAAUCUCACUCUGCUGUGUUGUAUUAAGUCAUUUUUGGGCAAAAUAUCCAUCGACAUACAAUACUAGAGGCAUGAAUCAGUUUUUGGUAAGCAAAAAAAGCUGAUUUUUACAUUGUAAUGCCCCUUUACUCAUGGUUCAAGUGGUACAAAACACUGCUUGGGAUCAAAUUACUCUAUUGUGGGUAGGGAUGGGAAUCGAGAACCGAUUUUUUUGUAGAAUCGGUUCCUCAUGUCUCGAUUCCAAGGAAUCGUUUGGCUGUCUCCUUAACGAUUCCGCUAUCGAUUCCACUGUGUGCGUGACGACGUAUCAUGCGCGGAGCACAUGGACUCGCACAGCGCAGCUGAGGUCCACUCUGGCGCCGCUACAGAGCCGCGGACGGAAACUUUCAGCAAGGAUCCUUUUUUCCUCACUCCGGAGCCUGCUGCUUCAGUCUAAACAGAAACAAGUCGGUGCCAGAUGGAAAC